CAGGCGGAAACACGUCACUGCGGGACCGCUGCGAGCGACGCACACAGCGCGAGGCCCGAGCCGGUUCCGUUAAAACCGUUGGGAAUCAGUCCCGGCGCGCGGCCGUUAAAGAAAAGUGUUCCUGACGUGAGACAGUCGGAAAGGGCAGGUGUGAAGGGGAGAAGUCAAACAGUGAGGAAGAUUUGAGAAUCGGGAAAUGUCGAUGGGAGAUGGAGGAAGAGACAUCACCUAAGUUUGCACUUUAUCCCGUUGUGAUGCGGUUUGAACGGCAUCGUCUGGAUGAAAGAUCUGUUUCAGACCAGGAGAUUUUAUCAAAAUUAUACAUCAAUAUGGGCACACAUUACAUCAACAAGAUGUGACAACAAGAACGGGAGAGAGGGGAGAGAGAGAGAGCAAAAACAAAUGGAUGGCGGGCAUCACUGAAUCGUGGCUGACAAAAGUUUAUAGUUGGGUGCUUAAAUCCAAGGAUAAAUAUUGAAUCGAAAGGAUACGCAGACAGCGCCAAUGAACCCCAACGAGAACAGAGUUACUCACUGGUGUAACACACUUGAUUUUCUAAUACCACUCAUGGCUGAAUAUGUCAGAUCUAGGACAAGACGAUCACUGUUUGUGAGCUCCAAAGAGAGUGACCUGAAAUGGUUCUCUGACGCUGCCAAUCUUGUCAUUUCGUCAUACUGGAAUAUACCCGUCCUAUACUCGGUGCAGAUGGAUUAUAAACACACUCCCUAUGUCAGAUGUGGACGCCAGAGUUACGAAGAAUGAACAGCUCUGAUGGGCAGAAGGGUGCAGAGUUGCCCAUGACCCCCCCCCCCUUGGAGAAUCACAAACCGUUACUGUUGCUAUCCUGCUAAUGAGAGAGAGAGAGAUGUAAGAGAAAACAUGCUAAAAUUGGAACAUCUGCUACAGAUAAGAGAGAUAAAGCAGGGGAGUGAACUUGUUGAUCUACCAUAUUAUGACUUCUGAAAAACUUAUGGGUUCUGAGAGUGUUGUUCACCUUGUACCAUCCUGUUCAUUAAAAUUCCUCAGUGGACUGCCGCAGUGGGCUGGUUUGAUGGACACAGUCAUUCAAAAUUGAUGGACAACUGAGACCACGUGAGUAAGGAUAAAAGUGAGUUCUGGGGAGACACCCCUCAGGCACACCAGGAGAAAAACUAUUGAGCGCUGCUUGAGUGUUGGAAUCCACGUGAAGGUGUGGGGCAUCGGAGACCGAACAAAGGAUCGGUCAGUUUAACCCACAGCUUUAUAGCAGGGCCGGUGGGGGCUUGUGUGUGUGUCCACUCAUGCCAGAGUGACGAGUCCACCACAGGAGAACGAUCUAGCUGAAGGACAGAGGGGUGAUACCUGAAUGGCCACAACACAUCGACGGAUCAAGAACGUAAAGGAAGGUUUGCCUGCCUGUAGUUGUUACAUCUUGCUCUCUCUCUCUCUCCAACAAUUACAACACAACGACCAACAUCUACCUCAGCAUGUGUGAA